AGUCGGACCUGCCCAGUGAAAUUUUUUAACGGCCGCGGUACUCUGACCGUGCAAAGGUAGCAUAAUCAUUUGCCUUAUAAUUGAAGGCUAGUAUGAAUGGUUUGACAAGAAUAUAGCUGUCUCUUUCUGAUUAAAUAGAAUUUUAUUUAGAGAUGAAGAAGCCUCUAUCAAAUUAAAAGACAAGAAGACCCUAUCGAGCUUUAAAAAAGUUAAUAGAUGNGAAUAAUUUAUANUAUUUAAAAAAUUAACUAUUAAAAAUUUUAGUUGGGGCGACUGAGGAACAAAAAAAGCUUCCUUUAUNAGCAUAANAACCACACGAGUAUUGAUCCAGAAUAUUUUGAUUAAAGGAAUUAGUUACCGUAGGGAUAACAGCAUUAUCUUUUUUAAGAGUUCUUAUCGAAAAGAAGGUUUGUGACCUCGAUGUUGGACCAGAAUAUCCUAAAGAUGCAGUAGUCUU
rnacentral:rRNA from 1 species